AGUCGAACGGGAUCCAGGCAGCUUGCUGCCUGGUGAGAGUGGCGAACGGGUGAGUAAUGCGUGACCGACCUGCCCCAUGCACCGGAAUAGCUCCUGGAAACGGGUGGUAAUGCCGGAUGCUCCAUCACACCGCAUGGUGUGUUGGGAAAGCCUUUGCGGCAUGGGAUGGGGUCGCGUCCUAUCAGCUUGAUGGCGGGGUAACGGCCCACCAUGGCUUCGACGGGUAGCCGGCCUGAGAGGGCGACCGGCCACAUUGGGACUGAGAUACGGCCCAGACUCCUACGGGAGGCAGCAGUGGGGAAUAUUGCACAAUGGGCGCAAGCCUGAUGCAGCGACGCCGCGUGAGGGAUGGAGGCCUUCGGGUUGUAAACCUCUUUUGUUAGGGAGCAAGGCAUUUUGUGUUGAGUGUACCUUUCGAAUAAGCACCGGCUAACUACGUGCCAGCAGCCGCGGUAAUACGUAGGGUGCAAGCGUUAUCCGGAAUUAUUGGGCGUAAAGGGCUCGUAGGCGGUUCGUCGCGUCCGGUGUGAAAGUCCAUCGCUUAACGGUGGAUCCGCGCCGGGUACGGGCGGGCUUGAGUGCGGUAGGGGAGACUGGAAUUCCCGGUGUAACGGUGGAAUGUGUAGAUAUCGGGAAGAACACCAAUGGCGAAGGCAGGUCUCUGGGCCGUUACUGACGCUGAGGAGCGAAAGCGUGGGGAGCGAACAGGAUUAGAUACCCUGGUAGUCCACGCCGUAAACGGUGGAUGCUGGAUGUGGGGCCCGUUCCACGGGUUCCGUGUCGGAGCUAACGCGUUAAGCAUCCCGCCUGGGGAGUACG
rnacentral:rRNA from 1 species